rnacentral:lncRNA from 1 species
AUGGGGACGCGACGGCCGGCGGAGGUGGUGGAGGGGAUUGGUGCGCGGCAGCCGGCGGAGGUGAAGGAGAUGGCGGUGCGGUGGCUGCCGGAGGUGGUGGAGGCCGGGGACGGGGGCGCGACGGCCGGCGGAGGGGACGGGGGCGCGACAGCCGGCAGGGGUGGAGGAGGCGGCGGCCGACCGAACUGUAGGAGGCGGCGGAAGUGGAACUGGAGGGAUGAGGAG